rnacentral:rRNA from 1 species
ACGGAAGGCAGCAGUGGGGAAUAUUGCACAAUGGGGGAAACCCUGAUGCAGCAACGCCGCGUGAAGGAUGAAGUCCCUUGGGUCGUAAACUUCUGUUCUAAGGGAAGAUCUUGACGGUACCUUAGGAGCAAGUCCCGGCUAACUACGUGCCUGCAGCCGCGGUAAUUCGUAGGGGGCAAGCGUUAUCCGGAAUUAUUGGGCGUAAAGAGUGCGUAGGUGGUUUCCUAAGCAUGGGGUUUAAGGCAAUGGCUUAACCAUAGUUCGCCCCAUGAACUGGGUUACUGGAGUGCUGGAGAGGAAAGCGGAAUUCCUAGUGUAGCGGUGAAAUGCGUAGAUAUUAGGAGGAACACCAGUGGCGAAGGCGGCUUUCUGGACAGUUACUGACACUGAGGCACGAAAGUGUGGUGCGCAAACAGGAUUAGAUACCCUGGUA